UCCAGAGGGAAAAGACAGCCGCUCUCUGAAGGGUAGCUGAUGCCUGCGUCCAAAUCCUGACCUCAAGAUUCUUUUGGAAAAUGAGCAUAGCCAGACACCUACCUUUUGGGGUUGCUACUACGGCUAAAAGAAGCACCACAUUUUAAAGGAGCCGCAAAGCGGCAAAACCAAUUUCCCAGUAAGUAGCAGGUUGCGUCGGUUUGGGCUGCGGGCAUCCCGGAUGGAGGCACCUUGCAGCAGAGCGGCGGCUUUAUUCUCAACGAGUUUAAAAAAAAAAAAAAAAAAAAAAAAGGAGGCGUGUGGACUGAGGGACAGAACAGGGCUAAGUGGGUCUCUCCCCUCCACCCGGGAACCCAGACAAGGCCCCUAGCAGAGGUGAGGCGUCCAGGGCCCUGGCACCCAAGACUGGCAGAGGUUUGGCUUUCAAUCGUCCACCUGUAUCUCUUCAUCUGAUAAGUGGGGCUCAGAAUCAGGCCCUGUAGGGCCAGGGUCAGGGCUUGAAGCGCUGUCUGGAAGUGCCAGGUGGCACAGUACUCCCGGAGACAACGCACAUAGGGAGGCCACGUCCGCGCGCAUCUCCUCCACAUCCCGCUUGAGCUUGGCGCGACGAUUCUGGAACCAAGUGACCACUUGCGCAUUGGCCAGGCCCAGCCGCGCAGCCAGCCCGUCGCGCUCCGACGGUGCCAAGUACUUCUGGAAGACGAAUCGCCGCUCCAGCUCCAGCACCUGCUGUGCAGUGAACGCUGUCCGAGACUUGCGGCGUCUCCGGACACCAGCGCCAGGACCCGGCGGCGCCUCUGGGGCGACUCUGCCUGCACGGAUGGGACGGAAAUGUCAGUCUCCAGCUUUGGAGGAGCUGUGGUCUGGGUGGAAAAGCUAGGGUCGCAGGGCUCAAGCAGGUGUGGGGGAGGACCAGCACCAAGAUCCCUAUACACCGGGUCAGGCCAGGGAUUCGAAGAGCUGCAGGCCUCUGGAAGAGGUGAGAUGUGGUUGCUCAUGCAGGGGAGUGGGUGGGACUGGCCAGAGGAGAUCUGGUGUAGGGGUCAAGGCCGUUUGGAGAAGAUCCUCUGACGCCUUUUGGAGCUCCAAGUUGCGCGUGGUAGUAGGUUAGAGGCUAGAUUGAGGUCGGGUGACCUACCGGGCCUGGUGGCCAUAAAAGCCCUAUGUUUAUACGUCCUUAAAAACACCAGUUCCCUCUCCAGGGAGCCAAAAAAGGGAUACAGUGGGAGCAUAGGGAGGAAAGGGAGGUAGAGAGAGGCGGUUUCUGUGACCAACGCAGCUGCAAGGAGCUUCUUGGACAAGGCUCUAGAAGUGACCGGCUGGGGCUGGGGCUGGCACUGGGGCUGGCACUGGGGCUGGGUGGUCGAGAGGUCUCUGGAGCUUUCUGCCUCGUCCUAGCCCUGCCUCACUUGUUUCUUGCCUACGGCUCAAGCCUUUUGUCUCCUCCGCGGCCUUUCUCGGUCGCGAUUGUCCCGCGUACAGCGAACGCACCAGCCCAGCGAACGCACCAGCCCAGCCGGUCCCCUCGAUUCUUUCUAGCCUGGCGAUACCCCGCGGCGCUGGCGACCCCCUCGAGCUGCUGCAAGGUCUCGGAACUAAGGCUGGAGAUUUGCAGGGCCCGAGAUGCAACGCCUGACACCUGGACAGAGGGCAGGACUUGGCGUUGUACCUUCAGAAGGCUGCAGAGCGCGCGGGUCACGGCCCAGGAACAUUUUACUAGUCAGCUCCUCCAGCGCGUACAGUGGUGACGCGGGAUCAGGACUGGCCUCGGGAAUCUGUGGCGCAGAAGGUGCUCGGGGAACCAUGCUGGGGCCUAGGAUGUCUGCGAUGCUGAAGGGUGUCCGGCGCUGGCGUCCAGAGUUCAUGGCAAACCGGGUUGUAACGGUCCCGCCUCCCGCUGCUCUUGGUUCCACAACCUCCUCGGCCCCCAGCGCUCAGCUUCCGAUCUGGGCCCCCUGCCUCGGAUCCGCCCCCUAGAGCUGGGUUGGAGUCCCAUGUCCCCUCCUUCUGCACCCCCACCUCCUUCCAAGGGCUGUGGUGAGUCUGGAGCCCGUAGGUGUCCUGGCAACCUUAGUUCUUCUGUUUCUUGGAGAGAAGCCGGUGGCUUCUGGCUUUGAGGUAUAGCUCUGUGCACAUUCAAACUGGGCUCUCUUCACUGGAUUCUGCUGGCUGCUUGGCUCCCCGCAUACGCUCUGGCUCAUAAACUCCCGGGCAAUAAAAUUGCUUUCCCUGGCCCCAAGGGCUGGGGAUUUGCAGAGUACUUAGAAA